AUUGAACGCUGGCGGCAUGCCUUACACAUGCAAGUCGAACGGCAGCACGGGGGCAACCCUGGUGGCGAGUGGCGAACGGGUGAGUAAUGCAUCGGAACGUGCCCAGUAGUGGGGGAUAACCAGUCGAAAGACUGGCUAAUACCGCAUACGACCCAAGGGUGAAAGCGGGGGACCGUAAGGCCUCGCGCUAUUGGAGCGGCCGAUGUCUGAUUAGCUAGUUGGCGGGGUAAGAGCCCACCAAGGCGACGAUCAGUAGCUGGUCUGAGAGGAUGAUCAGCCACACUGGAACUGCGACACGGUCCAGACUCCUACGGGAGGCAGCAGUGGGGAAUUUUGGACAACGGGGGCAACCCUGAUCCAGCCAUGCCGCGUGAGUGAAGAAGGCCUUCGGGUUGUAAAGCUCUUUCGGCCGGGAAGAAAUCGUAUCAGCUAAUACCUGGUGCGGAUGACGGUACCGGCAUAAGAAGCACCGGCUAACUACGUGCCAGCCGCCGCGGUAAAAC
rnacentral:rRNA from 1 species